CAGCCGCCACGGUAAUACGUAGGGUGCAAGCGUUAAUCGGAAUUACUGGGCGUAAAGCGUGCGCAGGCGGUUUCGUAAGACAGAUGUGAAAUCCCCGGGCUUAACCUGGGAACUGCAUUUGUGACUGCGAGGCUAGAGUGUGUCAGAGGGGGGUGGAAUUCCACGUGUAGCAGUGAAAUGCGUAGAUAUGUGGAGGAACACCGAUGGCGAAGGCAGCCCCCUGGGAUAACACUGACGCUCAUGCACGAAAGCGUGGGGAGCAAACAGGAUUAGAUACCCCCGUAGUCCCUGUCUCUUAUAC
rnacentral:rRNA from 1 species